GGCUGGGUAGUGUAAUGGUAACAUAUCCUCCUUAUUUGGCACUACAUUCUUCUAAAAAUUAAGAGGAAGCCCCUUGUUCGAAUCGAGGCCCAGGCC